CAGGACCCCAGCUUCCAUCCUCACGUUGUGUGGACAUGGUCCAGCUUCCUGCCGCGGACCAUGAGCAAUCCAAGGGUAGGGGAGCCUCAAGAGGGAGACACUGAGCCUUUACGUAAUGAGGCAGGGAGGGGUUCAAGCAAUUAAUUGAGAAAGGAUGUGACAGGACUGGCACCUGGUCACUUUGUGGCCGUGAGCACCAGCUCCGCCUAUCCCCUCUGCAGGGCAGAAGGGACAGUGCUGCGGGAGGCGGAGGUGCUGUGGCUCUGGGAAGGCUGAAAAGGGACGGCUGCAAAGGAGAAGAGCUUCGAGUCCUUUCCAUCAGGAGAAAAACCCGGUCAGCUGUGGAGGAGCACUGCACAGGAGUCAGAAAGUGGAGUCUGGGCGUGACCUUGCACCUGACCAGCCUGGGGCUCUAGGUCCGCCACAUCUGGACUAAUCUCCUGUGUCCUGAGCUCCCAGGACCCCAGAGGCAAGCAUGGAGGGGCCACGCUGGCAGAUUGAAGUCACAGAGAAAGGCAGGAAAACUUCCUGGCUUAGGUUUCCAAAGGCCUCUGGGGGAUGAAGAGAACCCACAGUGGCUUAGGACGAGCUCCUGCACAGCGGCCUGUUUCCCAAUUGCAUCGUGUAUCUCUUUGCCUCUCUUGGCUCAGCCAUGGCCCCAGCCCCAGGCCAUCCAAGGGGCAGCCUGGUGAGGUUUCUUCAACUUUGCUAAUGACUUGACCUACAGUCUUAAGUCAAGAAGGUGUCGCUCUCCUUUGUGAUGGCUGGACGCACAGGAGCUGUGGUCAGGAUGGGGCUAGAGGAGCUGAAAUCCCAGGGCAACAAGGGUAUUUAAAAACACAUCGCAGGAGAAACAGCUAAAGAGUCUUGGAACCAGGAAUCAUAAGCUGUUUGAUGGGAUGAACUAUCUUGGGAGUGAUGAGGUCCCCAUCACUGAAAGUAUUCAAGCAGAGAGAGUCAUGGAAUUAGGAGACGGAAGAGCAUCAGACACUGAAUGAAGUCUGCACUACAUGAGAUGAAGAACCCUUCCAGCCCUGAGGCCGAGCAGCCACUUCUCUGGAGCAGGCUGGCCCAUCUAUGUCCAGGAGGCCAGCCCCAGGCUAGCUUCUGAGCACGGGGAGCUAAGUCCUUCGCCUUCCAGAGACUGCACAAAGUGUGUGCCACCUCCACAGAACCCUCCUCAUCCACCCGAGAACUCUUCCUCACCUGACCUAAAGCUCUUCAUUUCAUACCACCUUUCAAGCGAAUUAAGGAUUAAUUGCCAGCAGCAAUCUCUGUCUUUGUUUGUUUUCUCUAAUGGAAAACCUUUCUCUCGGGAGGGUAAGGUUAUCAGUCAUUCACAGCUCAGUUGUGCUGUGUUUGAUUAGACUGGACGGCAAAGCUGAGUCCUGUUUCGGCUCUGUGCGAUCCUGGGCCCCUUGGAGCCUGUUUUCUCAUCUAUGAAAUGGGAGUAAUAAUAGUGCUUAUUGCACAGUUGUUUUAAGAACUAAAAAUUUAAAUUGCCUAGAAUGUUAUACAAACAUAAGCUGCCAUAUUUUGGAAAAAUGAGCCAAGAUCAGUGGUGCCAAGGGAAGAAUGGGCAGAGGUGAGCUGUGGGCAGCCGUGGAGGAUGGUCCACGGUGUGGCUGCCAGAGGGCAUCGGGGGCCAGGCAACUCCAGAAAGGAGCUAGGAAUGUUAGAGAAAACUGCACUAACAGCCAGCAUGCGUGAAGAACUGAUUCAUACUACACCGUGGAUGAACCUCAAGAACAUUAUUCUCGGCAAAAGCAGACAGACACAAAAGGUCACAUAGCAAAUGCUUCCGUUGAUAUGAAAUGUCCAGCACUGGCAAAUCCACAGAGACAGAAAGUAGAUUAGUAAUAGCCAGCGGCUGCAGACAGGGAAGGAGGGGAGUGAUGACUUAAUGGGUACAGGGAUUUUAUUUUGGGGUAAUGAAGAUAUUUUGGAAUGAGACAGAGCUGGUGGCUGCAUAGAGCACUAUGAAAGUGCUAAUUGCCAUUGAAUUAUUCACUUCAAAACAGUUAAUUUAACGCUAUGUGAAUUUCACCUCAAUAAAAAAGGUACAAAAUAAAAA
rnacentral:lncRNA from 1 species